rnacentral:sRNA from 1 species
AAUAAAAUAUUGUAUUUUCUGUCACAUAGUCUUUAUCCGUGAAAUAAUCACUCCUUUUUUUUCUUUGAUGAUGAUGAUGCAGCUACAUUUGAUAGAGUAAAAAAAUAUUCAAUUGGUGGUGAAGGCAAAAACGGUAGGAAGACUAAUUUUUCUUGCGGUAGUAUUUUACAAAACUUCACUGCAAUAGCAGUCAAAUGAAUAUGCUCACUGCGGAUCUUAUUGCGACGAACAAAAAAGGAAACCUGCGGUGCUCCUCCUUCAAAAAACUAGAAAAAAACAUCUAGUAUGUGGUAGCAAUUAAAAAAAUUAACAGAUAAUUCCAAUGCAGUUGCUCAUUGCGGAACUAUUUUAAGAAAGAGAAAAUACCGCAAAUUUGAUGGAUCAUCUUAAAUGGAUCGAUCCAAAUCGGCAGAGAUGAUGAAAUUAACUCAACAUUUUUCGAUGUUGGAUGUAACGCACUGUGGAAUAUGAACUAGAUUCCCAACAAAAACAAACAUUGAACAAGUAUGUAAUGCCUAUUAUUGCAAAGAAUGUACAACCUUUCAUCACAGUCUUCGACGAAGGAUUUCUUGAUGAGUUCCAAUAUAUACAACGCAAAAUACAACUGUCGAGCCGCUCGUUUUUUCGAGACGUAAUGCUUCUGAGAAUGUACGAACAUCUUGUCUGUGAGCUCAGGCAGACUUCCCGGCAAAUGAAGCAUACAUAUAUAACAGUUACAAUUCCCGGUCAUUUUUGCAGUAACGCCCAGAAGUAACUCGAUAGCAAACGUAGCUGAAACUCUUUCGAAAAUAUUAAUUAGUAUUGUUAUCUAUAACGAUGCGACUAUGAAAAAUGCGUGU